UACGGGGGGAGCAAGCGUUGUUCGGAUUUACUGGGCGUAAAGGGCGCGUAGGCGGCCAGCACACGUCAGUUGUGAAAUCUCCGGGCUUAACUCGGAAAGGUCAACUGAUACUGUGCGGCUAGAGUGCGGAAGGGGCAACUGGAAUUCUCGGUGUAGCGGUGAAAUGCGUAGAUAUCGAGAGGAACACCUGCGGCGAAGGCGGGUUGCUGGGCCGACACUGACGCUGAUGCGCGAAAGCCAGGGGAGCGAAUGGG
rnacentral:rRNA from 1 species